GACCAUAACUUCAUCACUUUGCCAAAUGGAAUCAACACACCAACCAACAAAGGAAACUACAACAAAAUGUGUCCGGAGGAUACAAAAAAGCACACCACCCAUACCUACAGUUUAGUUGCCGUAGUGAGAGUUGCAGAUGUGUUUUCCACGACGGGAGUUUGUGGGUUUCCACCGAAGGAUUGGUUUCGAACAAUGAAUGAAACCGUGCAUCAGAAUUGGUGUGCAUUUCCCCAACAAUCCGGUGCAAUUCAUCGUCGUGUACCCAUGUUCAGAUCACCGUUUGUUUCUCGUGGGUCAUGCACCAAAGGCUCAUUCAUGAUCAUCCGGUGUUCAGGCUCAAAGGGAUCGGGUUGAUGUUCAGCUUGCAAGGAGCAUGGAGAAUCACACACAAACUUCCAACUUGUUUGUGGUGAUUGUGAGCAAAUGCCAUGUUCUGUGGUGCAGGCGCAGUUGGGCAUCUACAUCUGAGAGUCGCAAUGGACAUGUUUGUGGUCCCGCUCGUUCCUUUCUUACCAGUGGAUCAUCGUCUGAGGAUUCGGUGUCUUCUGUCCGAAUGACGCUCGAGCAGGAGCUUGCCUACGACUUCGAAGCAUCUAAGAGGAAUCAGACCCUGGUUGCUGAUUUGCAACUCUCUUUUGCAGCAAUACAUAUAUCUUUGCAUACUCGUGUGCUGGACGGAGGUACCUCUUGUGUAAGGUUGGGUUUUCUUCUGUUUUCUUCAUCCUCAGGAAGACCAUCUUGGCUUAGAGAAUGAGAAAUCCGUAGUCCACACGGAUGAUUCGAUGUGAUUGGAAUACUCUUGGAAUAUUUAGAUGACUUAUCGAUUGCAGUUUUGCAGUUUGUAGGUGCCUGACUUAUUUACAUUCGGCAUUAGAACAAGUAGGGAAUCUUUGAACAGACGUUGAGGAAUUUUUUUUUCUUUUGUAAUAACAAAUUUCGAGAAAGCAUUACCCACAAUAUUUUCGUCUGCCUCGUCUUCGACAAGCUCACAGAAGUAGAGAGGCUUGUGGCGAUAAACCAGUGUGGUUUAGGAGUGUUGAUAAGGGACUGUAACUUUUCUCACAUUUUCAGAAACGUACAUCCUCAAACUUUCGAAGUC